rnacentral:rRNA from 1 species
AUUGAACGCUGGCGGCAGGCUUAACACAUGCAAGUCGAACGAGUGGCGAACGGGUGAGUAAUGUGUGGGAAUCUAGCUUAUGGAGGGGGAUAACUACGGGAAACUGUCGCUAAUACCGCGUACCAUAGGAUUAGCCCAAGUGGGAUUAGGUAGUUGGUGAGUUAAAGGCUCACCAAGGCGACGAUCUCUAGCUGGUCUGAGAGGAUGAUCAGCAACACUGGGACUGAGAAACGGCCCAGACUCCGACGGGAGGCAGCAGUGGGGAAUAUUGCACAAUGGGCGCAAGCCUGAUGCAGCCAUGCCGCGUGUAUGAAGAAGGCCUUAGGGUUGUAAAGUACUUUCAGUGGGGAGGCGUUACCCACAGAAGAAACACCGGCUAACUCCGUGCCAGCAGCCGCGGUAAUAC